rnacentral:rRNA from 1 species
GACGAACGCUGGCGGCGUGCUUAACACAUGCAAGUCGAACGGAAAGGCCCUGCUUUUGUGGGGUGCUCGAGUGGCGAACGGGUGAGUAACACGUGAGUAACCUGCCCUUGACUUUGGGAUAACUUCAGGAAACUGGGGCUAAUACCGGAUAGGAGCCUCUGCUGCAUGGUGGGGGUUGGAAAGUUUCGGCGGUUGGGGAUGGACUCGCGGCUUAUCAGCUUGUUGGUGGGGUAGUGGCUUACCAAGGCUUUGACGGGUAGCCGGCCUGAGAGGGUGACCGGCCACAUUGGGACUGAGAUACGGCCCAGACUCCUACGGGAGGCAGCAGUGGGGAAUAUUGCACAAUGGGCGGAAGCCUGAUGCAGCAACGCCGCGUGCGGGAUGACGGCCUUCGGGUUGUAAACCGCUUUCGCCUGUGACGAAGCGUGAGUGACGGUAAUGGGAAAAGAAGCACCGGCUAACUACGUG